rnacentral:rRNA from 1 species
UGGGGAAUAUUGCACAAUGGGCGAAAGCCUGAUGCAGCGACGCCGCGUGGGGGAUGAAGGCUUUCGGGUUGUAAACCUCUUUCGCUAUCGAACAAGGCCCGCUUAGGGUGGGUUGAGGGUAGGUGGAGAAGAAGCGCCGGCUAACUACGUGCCAGCAGCCGCGGUCAUACGUAGGGCGCGAGCGUUGUCCGGAAUUAUUGGGCGUAAAGGGCUUGUAGGCGGCUUGUUGCGCCUGCUGUGAAAACGCGGGGCUUAACUUCGCGCGUGCAGUGGGUACGGGCAGGCUUGAGUGGGGUAGGGGUGACUGGAAUUCCAGGUGUAGCGGUGGAAUGCGCAGAUAUCUGGAGGAACAACGAUGGCGAAGGCAGGUCACUGGGCCAUUACUGACGCUGAGGAGCGAAAGCAUGGGUAGCGAACAGG